UACAGAGGGUGCAAGCGUUAAUCGGAAUUACUGGGCGUAAAGAGCACGUAGGUGGCUAAUUAAGUUGGGUGUGAAAUCCCCGGGCUCAACCUGGGAAGGUCAUUCAAUACUGGUUAGCUAGAGUAUGGUAGAGGGAAGUGGAAUUUCCGGUGUAGCGGUGAAAUGCGUAGAUAUCGGAAGGAACAUCAGUGGCGAAGGCGACUUCCUGGACUAAUACUGACACUGAGGUGCGAAAGCGUGGGGAGCAAACAGG
rnacentral:rRNA from 1 species